GCUUUCCAAGGCUGCAGAAAUGAAGUCUGCAAUAGCAGAUCCUCUUUGCCUGGGUUUGCACGUGAUCCAGCAAACCACCCACCGACCCGUUGCCUCAUCUGAGACAUCCUCAGGGAACAGCAAGUCUCGCUGUUCUUGGAAGGGACUUCCAGCCUGGAAAGAAAAGGAGGGGUAAGAGAGCAUCUGUGGAUCUUCCUGGCAUAUUCCUUCUCCUACAAGAAUUGAAGGUCCCUGAUAAGACAUCUUUGAGGUCAGGCAUAAAUCAUCACUUCACAUCUUCACGGCAAUGCAACGAACACAAGUAUCUGUCUCCUUGGGUCUGUCUAACAAGGAGCAAAGCCUGGCCUCCCACCAGCAUCCAGGCAAUAGUGGAUUCCCUCUCCACAGAUGUCAAAAAAGAAACAGAUGCUCCCGCAGGUGAAAUGAGCUCUGGUCCACAA
rnacentral:lncRNA from 1 species